rnacentral:rRNA from 1 species
GACGAACGCUGGCGGCGUGCUUAACACAUGCAAGUCGAACGGAAAGGCCCUGCUUUUGUGGGGUGCUCGAGUGGCGAACGGGUGAGUAACACGUGAGUAACCUGCCCUUGACUUUGGGAUAACUUCAGGAAACUGGGGCUACUACCGGAUAGGAGCUCCUGCUGCAUGGUGGGGGUUGGAAAGUUUCGGCGGUUGGGGAUGGACUCGCGGCUUAACAGCUUGUUGGUGGGGUAGUUGCUUACCAAGGCAUUGACGGGUAGCCGGCCUGGGAGGGGGGACGGGCACAAUGCGCCUGCGGUACGGAGCAGAGUGCUACGGUAGGCAGUGGUGGGGAACAUUGCACAGUGGGGGGAAGUCUGAUGCAGAAACGUUGCGUUCGGGAUGACGGUCUUCUUGUUGUAAACCGCUUUAGGCUGUUACGAAGCGUGAGUGACGUUAAUGGGAAAAGAAGCACCGGCUAACUACGUG